rnacentral:rRNA from 1 species
CUUUUGCGUCACUGAUGGAUGGACCCGCGGUGCAUUAGCUAGUUGGUGAGGUAACGGCUCACCAAGGCAACGAUGCAUAGCCGACCUGAGAGGGUGAUCGGCCACACUGGGACUGAGACACGGCCCAGACUCCUACGGGAGGCAGCAGUAGGGAAUCUUCGGCAAUGGACGAAAGUCUGACCGAGCAACGCCGCGUGAGUGAAGAAGGUUUUCGGAUCGUAAAACUCUGUUGUUAGAGAAGAACAAGGAUGAGAGUAAAAUGUUCAUCCCUUGACGGUAUCUAACCAGAAAGCCACGGCUAACUACGUGCCAGCAGCCGCGGUAAUACGUAGGUGGCAAGCGUUGUCCGGAUUUAUUGGGCGUAAAGCGAGCGCAGGCGGUUUCUUAAGUCUGAUGUGAAAGCCCCCGGCUCAACCGGGGAGGGUCAUUGGAAACUGGGAGACUUGAGUGCAGAAGAGGAGAGUGGAAUUCCAUGUGUAGCGGUGAAAUGCGUAGAUAUAUGGAGGAACACCAGUGGCGAAGGCGGCUCUCUGGUCUGUAACUGACGCUGAGGCUCGAAAGCGUGGGGAGCGAACAGGAUUAUAUACCCUGGUAGUCCACGCCGUAAACGAUGAGUGCUAAAUGUUGGAAGGUUUCCGCCCUUCAGUGCUGCAGCAAACGCAUUAAGCACUCCGCCUGGGGAGUACGACCGCAAGGUUGAAACUCAAAGGAAUUGACGGGGGCCCGCACAACCGGUGGAACAUGUGGUUUAUUUCGAAACAACCGCGAAAAACCUUACCGGUCUUGACAUCCUUUGACCCUCUGAAAAUAAAACUUCCCCUUCGGGGGCAAAUGACAGUGGUGCAUGGUGUCGUCAACUCGGUCUGAAAUGUGGGUAAUCCCCCACCACCGCACCCUUUUGGUAUUGCCUCUUUAUUGGGCAUCUACCAAACUGCCGGGACAACCGAAGAAGGGGGGAUA